GAUGAACGCUGGCGGUGUGCCUAAUACAUGCAAGUCGAGCGAACGGACGAGAAGCUUGCUUCCUUGAUGUUAGCGGCGGACGGGUGAGUAACACGUGGAUCACCUACUUAUAAGACUGGGAUAACUUCGGGAAACCGGAGCUACUACUGGAUAAUAUUUUGAACGGCAUGGUUCAAAAGUGAAAGACGGUCUUGCUGUCACUUAUAGACGGUUCCGCGCUGCAUUAGCUAGUUGGUAAGGUAACGGCUUACCAAGGCAACGAUGCAUAGCUGACCUGAGAGGAUGAUCAGCCACACUGGAACUGAGACACGGUCCAGACUCCUACGGGAGGCAGCAGUGGGGAAUCUUCCGCAAUGGGCGAAAGCCUGACGGAGCAACACCGCGUGAGUGAUGAAGGUCUUCGGAUCGUAAAGCUCUUUUAUUGGGAAAGAACAGAUGUGUAUGUAACUGUGCACGUCUUGACGGUACCUAAUCAAAAAGCCACGGCUAACUACGUG
rnacentral:rRNA from 1 species